rnacentral:rRNA from 1 species
CCUACGGGGGGCAGCAGUGGGGAAUAUUGCACAAUGGGGGGAACCCUGAUGCAGCGACGCCGCGUGGGUGAAGGAGCACCUCGGUGCGUAAAGCCCUAUCGGCAGGGAAGAAAAGCGAACAGGUUCGCCUGGACGGUACCUGACUAAGAAGCCCCGGCUAACUACGUGCCAGCAGCCGCGGUAAUACGUAGGGAGCGAGCGUUAUCCGGAAUUAUUGGGUGUAAAGGGUGCGUAGGCGGUUUGAUAAGUCAGUGGUGAAAGCCUAGAGCUUAACUCUAGUAAGCCAUUGAAACUGUCGAACUUGG